CCUCACCGGGCGGCUCCCCAAAGGCGCCGGGCGCCUGCGGGCUGCCCUUCCCACAAGCCUGGGGAAGCGGGUCAGGCUAAUGCUGCUGAAGAGAAGCCCGGCGCACAGAGGGAAUUCUCCCGGAGUCAGCGGAGAGUGCUAAGUGCGUAGAGACUGCUUAGAUGAGUUAAUUUUUGCCCUUCAGACUUGCUGGGCCCGGGGGAUUUCACACUCGAGUGAGAAGCUGAUAAAGGCAACGUUAGAGGUGUGAGCAGUGGUCAGAGUGCUCAGGGACACGACAGAUGUCAGGAGCGAGGAAGAGGAAAAACAGUGCACAUGUAAUUCAAAAGGGGGACUAGGUAGAGCCAAGCACUGUCAAUCAUUGCAGCCUCUAUUCCCAGAAAAGUACUGAAGCAAAUAAUUACACAUCUUUAGUACAUGAUUGCUAAUGAAGGGAUAAGUUACAGCCAACAUAGAUUUGUCAAAAAAAUCACAUCGAGCCAAACUCAUCCCAAGCUGUGACAGAAUAACAGGCCUUGGACAUGAGUAGUGCUUGGUCAGUCAUAACUCAAGUCAGGUUUUUGACACCAUCUCAGAGAAGUCUUAAUUGAGCAAGCAAAAGACGUAACAUAAUGAAAUUACUGCAGUGGUGCAAAAUUACAUCAGCAACAUUUCAUUGUGACAAAUAGCAGGACAGCAAAUAGAGUUCCCUGGAGGUGGGAAUGUCAUGACUGUGGUCCCGAGUCUAAUUAUGUAUGUGACAGAAUACAGUUUACAGGCAUUGGAUUUGCCAACAAUGCCAAACUGGCAGAGCUGGAAGCAUGUUACAGCACAAGAAAAGAAUUCAAAACUUUCCUGAAAAACUUGCAGAAAUAUGAUGCAACUGAAUAAAUACACGUGCCAACUUCAACAUUUAAGCAGGAAAAUAACAAUUGCACAAUCGCAAGACUGGGAACAGAUGAAUAAACACCAGGUUUACAGAAAAGGGGCUGGGGAUCAGAGUAAAUCAGAAACUGAACAUGCAUCAACAAUGUCACACCGUUGUGAAAAAAGCUGCAAUACAGAGAGAUGCGUAAACAGAACUGUCAUAUCUAGGACAUAGGAAGAACUCCUCAUCUUUAAUACUGGUGAAGCCUCAUCUGUGUGUUCAGAUUUGGCCUCUGCAUUUCAAGAAAAAUUUCUUUCAAAAACUUCCAGUGGAAGACAGUACAAGGAAGGGAGGGGAAAAAAAGUCACCAUUUUAAAAGAUGUGACCCUAACUGAAAAUAGGAAUGUGUAGGAUUUUUAAGGCUAGAGAAUAAAAGACCAUGGGGAGAAAAAUCCAUUGUUCACUGAGUCCACUGCAGGCAAAGCUAAAUGUAACAGCUUUAAAUUGUACUGAGAAAUUUCAGUUAGACAUUAGGAACAGUUCUGUUGAGAUACAGAUAAGUAAAACUGGCAUAUAUUCUCUACAGGAUCCUGGAAAUGGUAUUAGUAUGGUUUUAAUAUUAAGUUAAAUAUCUAUAAGGAAAAUAUAGAAGAAUUUGACUGCUGUGAAGUAAUGGAGGCACACUAGGUUAUAAUUGUUUUCAGCAUAAUUUUCUGUAGCUGCAGUUACUAUCCAGGUACCUAGAUAUCUGUUCUGACAAAAGUGAAUCCCAGAGGCAUUUCAACAUUUAAUGUGUUGUCAUGAUCUUAUGCACAGGUGUAGAUAUCCCCUUUGGGAGUCUUUGUCACGUUACAAUCAGUAUAGUUGUGUGGUAACAUAUGUCACAUGCUCAGCUAAUUUGCUAAUUUAUAAACUUCAUACAUCACUAUAAAUUCCACAUUUAAAGAUAAUGUGUGUGCUAGUGCUCAUGUAACCAUCGUCUAUCUCAGCUUUUGCUUUUCUUUGCUUUUUUCUCCCUGGUACCAGAGGCUAAUUUUCCCCAAAAUCCAUUAAAUUCAGGGGUUUCUCUGGAGCUUGCCAGUUAGGAGAAGGCAGUGUGAGUGGUUUAUGUUGCUGGACUGAGACCCACCAAACUCAACUCAUUAGAGAUGACUAAAAGGCCAUUAAAUAGGCCAAUUUUCAAUCUCCACUGAGUUAGACUGAAUUCAAACUGAUAGCCCACAGGCAAAAGGCUAUGAAUUUCAUUAACAGUACCCCAAAGCAUUCAGUCCCCUAAUGAGUGCUAAUAUUAUUCUUCUGAGAAUUAAGCUUGUUUUCUGAAAAUAUACAUUUAUAAAAUCGAGUUCUAAUUAUUUCGGAGCUUGUAAGGACAGUUUUUCCACUGCUCUUAAACAAAAGAAACAUUACCAUCUUGUGCAAUCCACAGAUUCCUUCUAAGAUUCUUACAUCACAUGUGCUCCUCACUAACCAAAAUGCAAACAAUAAAUAUGUGAAAAAGCAAAUAUUAAUAUUACCUUUAUGCUUCUUGUUGAAAAGAUUAUAUUUUAUUGCAUGCAAUCAUUUUAAGGUCAUCACAUGUAUUUAAAUAUAUUUUGUCCCAUAGAAGGUAAGAUUUAAGGAACAGCAAUUCUUGCUUCAAUUCUGCAAUAACUGAAGGAAAUCACCAAAAGUAUUAACUUGUAGAAAAUGCAAUGUUUUAUUACAGUUCACAUCUAUUUGUGAACAAGUAAAAUGCUUAGCCUAACAAAACCUGAACUUCAGUUCUAAUGCUGCCAAAUCCCACAAUUUUUUAAUAGUUUAAAGAUAUCUAGCAAUUUUUUAAUCUCUCAGCACUUGAACUAAGAGGCCCAAUUCCAUUAGCACUAGUGGAUUCUUGAAAAUGCUUAUGAUUCACAUAAUCUGUGGAUCAAAAAAUCCACAUUUGGUGUGAAUGAAUAAAGAACAUAAAUGCAAUAUUUCAUUAAAAUGGCAGUGUGGUAAAAGAUUAUGUCCAGUGGUGUCAGAAGUCUUUUUUUGAUUUCUAAUUCCACUUCUGUUGCCAUUUGUAAUACGUGAGAAGUGGUAGAUGAUCUUAAAGGUUGCCUGAUGGGUUAAGAAGAUUUGAGAAAUAGACACAAAAUGACACAAAAUUGGGACUGCAUUUCUGCACGACAUAGAACCUUUAGGACCAGUGAAGCAUUCUAAUGUCAGUGAAAGAACGUGUCUGGCCAGUAAAGAAGCACACAAUGGGAUCCCUGAACAUCAAGGCAGUCACUGCACAGCUGGCUUUCUGUUUGCAGGAAUGCUGGCUGUGGCCUGUAUUGUUUCUCCACCAAUGCAGACAAGGCCUAAGAAUGGUUAAAACAGCAUUUGAAAAUCUCUUGAGAGAAUGAUGCUCCUACUUCCUCCUGAUCUUCAACAUGGCUAUAAAAAGCUUAAACCAAGGCAGGUUCUUUCAAGUUAGCAGCAAAGUAUGAUUAACUGGAACCAAUUUAGAAACUGUUUCUUCAUAUAAACGUUUUUGUAGCUGAAGCUGCAGAGGGAGAGUUGGAAAAUGUUUAAACUGAAGCAUUUUGAAUGAAAGAAGACUGCAAAUGCCUCCUUGUACCACACAGCAAAAUCCCAAAUGCCUGGAGGGAAAAACUUUUUAAUGAUAAUUUCUUACAUUUAUAUAGCACCUUUAAUUCCCUAGGA